UNGCUGAGCAUUUGGUUAUGACGGGUGG
rnacentral:piRNA from 1 species